rnacentral:rRNA from 1 species
UACGGGGGGGGCAAGCGUUGUUCGGAAUUACUGGGCGUAAAGGGCUCGUAGGCGGCCUACUAAGUCGGACGUGAAAUCCCCAGGCUCAACCUGGGAACUGCGUCCGAUACUGGAUGGCUUGAAUCCGGGAGAGGGAUGUGGAAUUCCAGGUGUAGCGGUGAAAUGCGUAGAUAUCUGGAGGAACACCGGUGGCGAAGGCGGCAUCCUGGACCGGCAUUGACGCUGAGGCGCGAAAGCCAGGGGAGCAAACGGG